AGCAACUUGGCAGGGGAUGGGGGUGAAGGAUGGGGAGUGAGUUUUUUUUUUUUUAGCUUAUGCUUCCAGGUAACAAUCCAUCACUGAGUGAAGUCAGAGCUGGAACUCAAAGAAGGAACCUGGAGUAGAACCUAUAGCAGAAGGCUGUUAACCAUCUUGCUCUUUGGAUCAUGCUUAGAUAGUUUUCUUACACAGGCCAAGACUGUCUGCCUAGGGAUGAUGCUGCCCACAGUGGACUUGGCCCUCCUACAUCAACGAGUAGUUGAGGCAAUGCCUCGCAGGCCACUGUGAUCUAAGUAAAUCCUAGCUUUCCUCUUCCCAGGUGAUUCAAAGCUGUGUCAAGUUGACAAUGAAAACCAACCAGCAAGCAAGUCACGUGUGCACCUGCUCAGUUUCCGAAUGGAGAUCACGAUGAAAUCGAAAUGAGGAUAAACGACGAUUAAAAAAAAUGUCCAUCUGCUCAACCAGCUGUGACUAAAACUUGACCCUACUUCAUGGAGUAGAAUGAGUUAAUUCUGUGGAUGAUACAAUAUUGAAUUAUUUAUACAACCAUCACAAGGAAGCCACCAGUCAACCCACACAGUUCCAUUGUGCGUGGAGGUGUGUAUAAGCUCUAUCUACAGCAGCACACCCCUGAAUAUGCCCAAUACUGUUGAAAAGUGCAAGCUUUGGUUGAAGAGACACACAGCCCUGGCUCAGACCCCAGAUGGCCAAGAACUGACCAGAUACUGUGCAAGCAACUAUCUCCCUCCCAGUGUAAUCCAUCUUAACGGUAUUUGACUUUUGUUUGCUAUGGAAACUAUGUUGUUUGGAAAUAUCAAAAGUGCUAGAAUGGAAGCCAAGCUAAAUGUUGGUUUCGGUCAGGCCAUGUUUUCCCUUCUGAGAAAAGCCACUCCAAGUAGCACUUCUAGCUUCCAGUGAUCCUUGCCUCAAUGUCAGGGGGAAAGCCUGGCUCCUGAGAGUGCAGUUAGUGUGCUUGAGCCGAAGAAGCUGGGAUCCAAGCAGGAUAUGAGGUAGCUUCAGAUAAGGAUGUGAGACCAAUGCCCAGUCCCCAAGAGAAGGAACGACACACACCAAGGUCCUGGGUUGAGCUGGAUGAGACGAAGAAAACAAGUGGGAGAAGCUUGAGAAAGGGAGCAGAAAGAAGAAAUACAAGAGUGCGGAAUGUAACGGAAUCUACAGAAGGCUGUAACAUAACAUUCUAAUUGAACACACCCUGGGGAAUUUCUGUGGAAAUAUUUCUGGAUUUGGGUGUUUCUGUCCCUCACUCUUCCUGGACACAUACGAGUCACAUCAAAGGAAUUCGUUAAAAGGAAUCGUCUGGUGUCCUUUGUGGUUGGAAUGGUUUUAAAAGGUCUCAGCUGACUGACAGGCAGUGGAGACGUGAAAUCCCAGACUCUCAGUUCUUCUUCAGUUCCAAAUUGUCAAGUUGCUGAUGGUGCAGUCUCUCCUAGAGUUUGUUUGGGGAAGCAGCAGACGGAUGAAAAGGAGAAACUGUAUUUUACUUAAAUGAGCUCCCUCCAUUCGUGCAGCAUGUGAUUAGGCGGCUGUGUUAGGACCAGAAUCAUUUUACAUUCCUGAAGGGUGACACUCUGGGACUUGGUCUCCGACCUGGUAAUAGCCUGGACCAAAGACUGGGAAAAAGAAUUCCAAAAUAAGAGAAAGUCGGCGGAGGGUGGGAAGACAGGCAAGCCAGUGCUGUGGGGACACUUGGCUGGCCUUGCUUAGCCACAGGACUCCAGAAGGGAAAGGAUGAGGCCGUUCCAUGCAGCAGCCCUUCUCCAUGGCUCUACUUGAUACAAGCCAGGUGUCCCAUGCAAAGAACAUCAGGAACUGUCCCAGGCACCUUCUACCCAGUCUUGAACUUCCUCUCUUUGUAUUAACCCAGAACUUUCUGUCACAUGGUCAUGUGACAUGUCUUUCUUCCACAAGAGCAAAGCAAGUAUGGGGAAAACAGAUAUGAACAAUCCCACCUUAAAGAGAAGGGGAUCCCUUGGUGUCACCAGCUGCUAGGGAGGGGGCAGGAGGACUUCACAGCAGAAUUAGCAUCUAAUUGGGAUGCUGAAGGGUGACUCGAGUUUGCUAGUGGGUUAGGACAGAACACAUUUCCAGCAGAAUGGGAAUCAGCCACUAUGCAUGGAUUCAUUCCCAAGUAGAUUUUAUUUUAUCCCUAAGUUUCAACUCUGAGCCUGCCCUCGAGUACUUCCAGUCCAGUGAGGACUACCUUGAAGGCAUCCUACAUGAAUAGUAAGUGGAUGGUUUGGGGAAGGUCAUGGACCAGUGGACACUCCACAGCUUCCUUGGGAGCAAGAGGCCAGGCUGAAAUAAAUGUCAAGGAGACAAGGAGGGCACAACUCAAGAGAGUCGCUGCAGACGCAGGAGAUAUUAGACAAAAGUUCGAGAAAAUGCUCCCUGUAGGUGGUAGGGGUGACGUGCACAAGAAGGAGAGGGGAGUAAGACAGAAGUUACCCCUUGGGAUGUCAGGAAGCAGAGAGAAGACUCUAGUGGGAACUAAACUCAGCUAUAACCCGUUGAGUCCGCCCUCAGAAACUCUUCCUCCAGGGAAGCCCCACCUCCUGGAUGCUACAGCUUUUUCCAACAGGGCCACCAGCUGGAGACCAAGUGUUGAAAUACAUGAACCUUGUAGGCCAUGUUCACAUUCUAACUGUAAUAAGAACCAGUAAGGAUUUCAUUCUGAAGACCAAGAACGUUGGUUUUUAUAAUGAGUGUGUCUGGCUAGAAGGAUGUCCUAGUGCCUAAGAACAACGGUUGCUCUUUCCAGGGAUCUAGACUCCUUUCCCAGCACCCACAUGGCAACUUAGAGCCACCGGUAACUGUAGUUCCCAGGGAUCUGACGCCCUCUUCUGGCCUCCAAAGGUACCAGGCGCACAUGUGGGGCACAUACAUACAUGCAACAAAGCACUCAUAAGCAUCAAAUAAGGCUAAAUAAAUCUUUAGAAAUCAAACUGGCAUGUUUUAUUCUUCAAUUACAUAAAUAUACCCGUAGAGUGAACAAAACUCAGAGAAUGUGAAAAGCAUAGUUACAAUGGCUAACUAAGAUGUAAUAAAUAUUAGAUGUACA